AGAAUCGUCCAUAAAAAGCUUCUAACUUUUAAUUAAGCACUAACAUGUUUGUGAUUCUA
rnacentral:tRNA from 1 species